rnacentral:lncRNA from 1 species
UGGCUCCCCGCCGGCGGGCAGGAGAAAGGGGACUUGCCUUCCGCGCAGGGGCCCCCGAGGAAGAAGAAGCCCAAGUCUGGCUCCUCCAGCCUGCGCUGGGCUUUCAGCUGGCUUCGGGGCAAGAGGAGGAGGAAGAAGAGCAGCGGCUCCAACGCCCACCAUGGGGCGCCCCCCGCGGAGGGGGAGGCGCCCUCUAAGGCAAAGAAGCCGGAGGAGCGAGCCAAGAAGGGCAAAGGCUCUGCCAAGGCUGAGAACAAGAGGCUGAAUGUCCAGUACAAGGCGGGAGAGGAACGGCCCGACAAUGUCUUCUUCCCCAGCAGCCGUCCACCGCACCUGGAAGAACUGCACAACCAGGCUCAGGCAGGGCUCAAAUCUCUGCAGCACCAAGAAAAACAAAAACAGACCAGAAGCGGCUGGGACCACGGAGACAGCAACAGCAUCCAGUCUUCCCACACCUCUGCGGCGGACGAUGAGAUUUCCUUCCGAAGCAGGACCCAGUCAUGCACAACAGAGAAUGCCUCUGAGGACG